UACGGAGGGUGCAAGCGUUAUCCGGAUUCACUGGGUUUAAAGGGUGCGUCGGCUGCUGCAUAAGUCAGGGGUGAAAGUUUGUCGCUUAACGAUAGAAUUGCCUUUGAUACUGUGCGGCUUGAAAUUAGGUGAGGUUGGCGGAAUGUGACAUGUAGCGGUGAAAUGCGUAGAUAUGUCAUAGAACACCGAUUGCGAAGGCAGCUGGCUAACCUAAAUUUGACGCUGAGGCACGAAAGCGUGUGUAGCAAACAGG
rnacentral:rRNA from 1 species